rnacentral:rRNA from 1 species
GACGAACGCUGGCGGCGUGCUUAACACAUGCAAGUCGAGCGGAGCGGCGAACGGGUGAGUAACGCGUGAGUAACUGCCCCCCUCUCUGGGAUAACCGUUGGAAACGGCUGCUAAUACCGGAUAGUGGGGGAUGACUCGCGUCCUAUCAGCUUGUUGGUGAGGUAGUGGCCUACCAAGGCGACGACGGGUAGCCGGCCUGAGAGGGCGACCGGCCACAUUGGGCUGGGGUACGGGCCGAACUCCUACGGGAGGCAGCGGUGGGGAAUAUUGCACAAUGGGGGAAGCCAUGAUGCAGCAACGCCGGGUGGGGGAGGACGGUCUUCGGGUUGUAAACCGCUUUCAGCCAUGACGCGGUAGUGGCAGAAGAAGCACCGGCUAACUACGUGCCAGCAGCCGCGGUAAUUC